ensembl:snoRNA
AAGAUUGUACUUUCAGGGAAUCAUUUCUAUAGUUCAUUGCUAGAGAUGUUUCUCAGACUGUGUAGGGUUCCAGAAACCAUAAGGAAGAGAUGAAACAUUCUCUCCUGAGCAUGAAACCAGCUCUUGGAGUUGCUUUGCCGCAACUUCCGCUUGCCAUUGAUGAUGGUUCUUCUCUUCCUUUGGGAGACUGGAGGGACAGGAUGCAGCCUGAGUGGAU